rnacentral:rRNA from 1 species
AUUGAACGCUGGCGGCAUGCUUUACACAUGCAAGUCGAACGGUAACAGGCCGCAAGGUGCUGACGAGUGGCGAACGGGUGAGUAAUGCAUCGGAACGUGCCCAGUCGUGGGGGAUAACUACUCGAAAGAGUAGCUAAUACCGCAUACGAUCUAUGGAUGAAAGCGGGGGACCGUAAGGCCUCGCGCGAUUGGAGCGGCCGAUGUCAGAUUAGGUAGUUGGUGGGGUAAAGGCUCACCAAGCCAACGAUCUGUAGCUGGUCUGAGAGGACGACCAGCCACACUGGGACUGAGACACGGCCCAGACUCCUACGGGAGGCAGCAGUGGGGAAUUGUGGACAAUGGGCGCAAGCCUGAUCCAGCAAUGCCGCGUGCAGGAAGAAGGCCUUCGGGUUGUAAACUGCUUUUGUACGGAACGAAACGGCUCUGGUUAAUACCCGGGGCUAAUGACGGUACCGUAAGAAUAAGCACCGGCUAACUACGUG